GAGGGCGUUAUUUAGACCUGCUAAAUCUUUAAUCUGGGAUUAACUCCCAGACCCC
rnacentral:tRNA from 1 species